AGAGUUUGAUCAUGGCUCAGAAUGAACGUUGGCGGCGUGGAUUAGGCAUGCAAGUCGAGCGUGAUCCCUCCGCAAGGAGGGUGAAAGCGGCGAAAGGGAGAGUAACGCGUGGACUAUCUACCCUCGGGCUCGGGAUAGCUGCGGGAAACUGCAGGUAAUACCGAAUAACGUCCCUGGACCAAAGGUGUGAUUCCGCCUGAGGAUGAGUCCGCGUCCUAUUAGCUAGUUGGUAGGGUAAUGGCCUACCAAGGCGAUGAUGGGUACUGGGUGUGAGAGCACGACCCAGCUCACUGGGACUGAGAUACUGCCCAGACACCUACGGGUGGCUGCAGUCGAGGAUCUUCGGCAAUGGGCGCAAGCCUGACCGAGCGACGCCGCGUGUGGGAUGAAGGCCUUCGGGUUGUAAACCACUGUCAGAGGGGAUGAAAUACCCAGAGGUACUCCUCUGGGCCUGACAUAUCCUCAGAGGAAGGACGGGCUAAGUUCGUGCCAGCAGCCGCGGUAAGACGAACCGUCCGAACGUUAUUCGGAAUUACUGGGCUUAAAGGGUGCGUAGGCGGUGCAGAAAGUUGGGUGUGAAAUCCCUCGGCUCAACCGAGGAACUGCGCCCAAAACUACUGUGCUUGAGGGAGACAGAGGUGAGCGGAACUUAGGGUGGAGCGGUGAAAUGCGUUGAUAUCCUAAGGAACACCGGUGGCGAAGGCGGCUCACUGGGUCUCUUCUGACGCUGAGGCACGAAAGCUAGGGUAGCGAACGGGAUUAGAUACCCUAGUAGUCC
rnacentral:rRNA from 1 species